rnacentral:rRNA from 1 species
GUUGAACGCUGGCGGCAGGCCUAACACAUGCAAGUCGAACGGUAGCACAGAGAGCUUGCUCUUGGGUGACGAGUGACGGACGGGUGAGUAAUGUCUGGGAAACUGCCCGAUGGAGGGGGAUAACUACUGGAAACGGUAGCUAAUACCGCAUAACGUCGCAAGACCAAAGUGGGGGACCUUCGGGCCUCACACCAUCGGAUGUGCCCAGAUGGGAUUAGCUGGUUGGUGAGGUAA